rnacentral:lncRNA from 1 species
GUAGCAGAGCACCCAGUCCUUGCAGCGUGCUGAGGAGAUGUCUGCAGAACAGCCUCGGGCGCUGCGCAGAGCCCAGGCGUGGGGGGAGCGGGUGUCGGUAAUUAUUAACUGCUAAUAGCGAGAGAAACCAUUAUGGUUCACAAUGGGCUUUCCUUUCACACCGCUAAUUGUGUGAUGAACUUACUUUGGCAGUAAAUUGUCACAUCUGCUGCGGAGAAGAUUGCACUUAGGGAAAUAAAAUAAAUACAGUUGCUGUUCCUUUAUCCUUGGAUGAUUGAGUCGCUAAAAAAAAAAAAGGAAAAAAGAAACUUGGCAGAUGGAACAUAUUAUUUGUUAGACAAGGCUUCAGGAGGAGAGAGCAACUCCAGAGGUCCCAGGCGAGCAGUGCAUUUCAGUGGCAGGGCUAACCUGAGCUUCCUUCCACUUGCUCUUGCACUGCCCCGUGCUGCAAUGAGCAGCUGUCUGCAGCUGGAGAGAACUUGGCUGGUAGGGCCAAGCGUGGUGCCAGUGAGAGGCUGAGCGGCUGGGCCACCAUCUUCUUCCUGCUGGCACCUGGGGAGUGCCAGAAAAGAGGAAAGGAGGGUUCUGAUCUGUUAAGCUGUGUUUGCCGAAGCCUUCCAGUCUUCAAUCCAUGAGCAUUUUUGUUUAUAGAAAUGGAAAUUUUGGCUGAGAUGUAGGCAAUGCCAUUACCAAAACCUUGCUCCUAACAAUACUGGAUGGUCUUUCUAAAACUACCCCCGUCUUUUCACAUGUUCCUAAUGGUGAGUGGGUGUCUCAGUUUUCAAAUGAUGAGGCAUUAGAGGGCUUUGUUUUUUCUGAUGCUGGGUACAUUGCUCUACACAUUACGUGCAGGCUGACUGUCAAAGAAUGGCAGGGAGCUCUGGAGGGCCUUCACAAUGAUCCCAGGUUGCUAGAGAGAAGUGACAAAUCUUUUAUUUAAAUGUCCUCUUGCAAGAAUCCUACUUUCAAAUGCUUGUCUGUGUCAUAUCAGUCCCUCUGCUCAAUACCGAUUGCCUUUCUCACAUGUCAGGUCAGUAUCACUGCGUUUGUGCUACCCACAGCCACAUUUACACAAUCCUUUUGUCAGUUUGAUUGAGACAAAUGCAGGAAGUGACAGAUGGGUUAAUGGUCCUACCUCAGUGUCAUCGCAUCGCUGCAGGAAAUAGCAUCAACAUGCAAUCAGAGCACGAUGUGUGCUAUUACAGUUCAUUUGUCUUUAGAACAAUUUUGGAGAAUCAGUGGGUGUCUUAUGGUUCAAGAUCAGCCGUAAAAAUACACAUGCUGCUCCUCCGGGUUGUUCAAGUGUUAUUCCAUUCCUUAGCUCCUGCAAUGGAGUUCUGAGCUUUAACUCUGCCUCUGGAGCUGGCCAAAAGUCAGAGCUUCAGUUUUUCAGCAAGUUUUGUUUCAGUUCACAAUUAAAAAAAAAAAAAAAGAGUUUUGUUUUGUUUUAAAUUCACCCUAGGUCCCAAAGCACUGUUGCUCAGGAACCUGAAGCAUCUUUGCAGUUACCAUUG